AUGUCUAAAAAUUACAGAGUUCUUUUCCUGCUUUCCUCUCUGAUCUACACGGUAGAAACUGGAGAAGGCGAAGUUACGCAACUUGCUCAGUGGACAGUUGUUAAGGAGGCAGAAAACACUUCCAUGGAGUGCCCCAUAGCAACGGGAUCGAGCACAGUGCAUUGGUACAGACAGUUCCCGAACCAGCCGCCCCAGUAUCUGGUGAUGGCCAAAAGAGAAGCUGAUCUACAUGAGAGGAUCUCCGCUUCAGUCAGUACAGACUACAAACACACUGUCCUAAGUGUGAGAGACGCCAGACUUAACGACACCGCCAUCUAUCUCUGUGCCAACAGGGGCACAGUGGUAUAA